rnacentral:rRNA from 1 species
AGCUCCAAUAGCGUAUAUUAAAGUUGUUGCGGUUAAAAGCUCGUAGUUGGAUUUCUGUGGAAGGUGGGCGGUCCGCACUUUGUGCGUGUAUCUGUUACAGCUUCCGCAUCCUCUCAAAGAACGGAAUGGGAUUAAUUUCUCGCUUCGCAAUUUGGGACUUUUACUUUGAGGAAAUUAGAGUGUUCACGGCAAGCAAUCGCUUUGAAUACAUUAGCAUGGAAUAAUAAUAUAGGACCUUGGUACUAUUUUGUUGGUUUCUAGAACUAAGGUAAUGAUUAAUAGGGAUAAUUGGGGGCACUCGUAUUAACGCGUCAGAGGUGGAAUUCUUGGAUUGCGUUACGACGAACUACUGCGAAAGCAUUUGCCAAAAAUG